rnacentral:rRNA from 1 species
GAUUGAGCUGCCCUUAGAGUUUGAUCCUGGCUCAGGACGAACGCUGGCGGCGUGCCUAAUACAUGCAAGUCGAGCGAACUUCUUAAAAGCUUGCUUUUAAGAAGUUAGCGGCGGACGGGUGAGUAACACGUGGGCAACCUACCUGUAAGACUGGGAUAACUUCGGGAAACCGGAGCUAAUACCGGGUAAUACUUAACCUCACAUGAGGUUAAGUUGAAAGAUGGUUUCGGCUAUCACUUACAGAUGGGCCCGCGGCGCAUUAGCUAGUUGGUGAGGUAAUGGCUCACCAAGGCGACGAUGCGUAGCCGACCUGAGAGGGUGAUCGGCCACACUGGGACUGAGACACGGCCCAGACUCCUACGGGAGGCAGCAGUAGGGAAUCUUCCGCAAUGGACGAAAGUCUGACGGAGCAACGCCGCGUGAACGAUGAAGGCCUUCGGGUCGUAAAGUUCUGUUGUUAGAGAAGAACAAGUACGAGAGUAACUGCUCGUACCUUGACGGUACCUAACCAGAAAGCCACGGCUAACUACGUGCCAGCAGCCGCGGUAAUACGUAGGUGGCAAGCGUUGUCCGGAAUUAUUGGGCGUAAAGCGCGCGCAGGCGGUUCCUUAAGUCUG